GAACGCUGGCGGCGUGCCUAAUACAUGCAAGUCGUGCGCUCCACUUGUGGAGAGCGGCGAACGGGUGAGUAACACGUAACCAACCUACCCCUAUGACUGGGAUAACUACUGGAAACGGUAGCUAAUACCGGAUAGGUAAUAGAGACUUAUGUCUUUAUUAUUAAAGAUGCGUUUGCAUCACGAAGGGAUGGGGUUGCGCAGCAUUAGCUAGUUGGUGGGGUAAUGGCCUACCAAGGCGACGAUGUCUAGCUGAUUUGAGAGAAUGAUC
rnacentral:rRNA from 1 species